ACUUCGUUCGGAGUUUCCUAACGUAAAAACCCCGAAUAGUUUGUUUUUAAGCUUUAAUACUAUACGUUUCUCCUCGCUGAAGUCUUCGUUUGCUUUUUUCCUUAUUCUUUAAGCAUUAUCUAAACAGUAACCUCAUCGCUGGCUGAAAAAAGCGCGUGUGUUAUUACAAAAAUAACCCAACGCAGCAAAGUUUCAUUAAAAUCCUAUAAUUUUUUCUUGUAGAAACAUCAUAACCGCCAUGGGGUCCCUUCGAAUUUAUUAGCCGAUUCUUGCAAAUAAAAUAGCAUCAAUAACAUGAGUGCAUUGGUUUCUUAAGUGUCUGGGGAUCGCGCGCUACUUUGAAGUUGAACGGAAAAACUGAGCAGAUAACGUAGCAAGCCUUAAGCGAGUUCGAUCGAUACCAGAUCUAUCUACCAGAUAAUCUGACAGAAGCAACAACAUUAUCUCAAGCAAAAAAAGUUCUUCUGGAUUGCAUCGCCAGUUGGAAAUUGGACAUUGGAAACCUUCUGAAGGACGCAAGAAGGCCACGCAGGCCUUCUACACAAAAAGAAAAAAUGGGCGAAGAAGUGGGCCAAGAGACAAAAGUUUUUUCGUGGUUCAAGUUCUGAAUGCGAAAGUUCAGAGGAACGCGAGCAUUUUGUGCCAGUUCCAGAGCCAAUAGCUGUG